UACGUAGGGGGCUAGCGUUGUCCGGAUUUAUUGGGCGUAAAGAGCGUGUAGGCGGCCAUGUAGGUCCGGUGUGAAAACUCGAGGCUUAACCUCGAGAUGUCAUCGGAAACCAUUUGGCUAGAGUCCGGAAGAGGAGAGUGGAAUUCCUGGUGUAGCGGUGAAAUGCGCAGAUAUCAGGAGGAACACCAAUGGCGAAAGCAGCUCUCUGGGACGGUAACUGACGCUGAGACGCGAAAGCGUGGGUAGCAAACAGG
rnacentral:rRNA from 1 species